rnacentral:tRNA from 1 species
GGUGCUGUAGCUCAGAGGUGGAGUACUUGCCUAGCAAGAGUGAGGCGCUGGGUUUAAUCCUCAGCACCG